GACGAACGCUGGCGGCGUGCUUAACACAUGCAAGUCGAACGGAAAGGCCCUGCUUUUGUGGGGUGCUCGAGUGGCGAACGGGUGAGUAACACGUGAGUAACCUGCCCUUGACUUUGGGAUAACUUCAGGAAACUGGGGCUAAUACCGGAUAGGAGCUCCUGCUGCAUGGUGGGGGUUGGAAAGUUUCGGCGGUUGGGGAUGGACUCGCGGCUUAUCAGCUUGUUGGUGGGGUAGUGGCUUACCAAGGCUUUGACGGGUAGCCGGCCUGAGAGGGUGACCGGCCACAUUGGGACUGAGAUACGGCCCAGACUCCUACGGGAGGCAGCAGUGGGGAAUAUUGCACAAGGGGCGGAAGCCUGAUGCAGCAACGCCGCGUUGGGAUGACGGCCUUCGGGUUGUAAACCGCUUUCGCCUGUGACGAAGCGUGAGUGACGGUAAUGGGUAAAGAAGCACCGGCUAACUACGUG
rnacentral:rRNA from 1 species